ensembl:snRNA U6 U6 spliceosomal RNA
GUGCUUGGUUUGGCAGCCUGUAUUACUAAAACUGGAAUGAUACAGAGAAGAUUAGCCUGGCACCUGCUCAAGAAUGAUACGCAAAUUCAUGAAACAUCCCGUAUUUUU